AUGCAUGCUUGUCAUGGUGGAAAGAGAAAGACUCUGACGGCACUUCCUGACAAAACUUUAACACUGCUAGUCUUAGACAUCAAUUUGCUUCUGGGGAUUUAUACUAAGCAAAGAAGAGAAUGGACACCUCAGGAAUCCUUCCCAAAUCUACUUUGUGAUGUUUUGCAGUUGUUUACCAAAAUUGUUCAAUAUUUCUUUAAUUUUAAGCCUAAAUGCAUUGUCCGAUCCCCUAGAGCUUGGUCCUUUGAGUCAUUGUAG